CUUUGAAUUUUGCCGAAGAAGCCAGCACAGCAUCAUCCUUCAAAGGGAUUCCCAACACAACAAGCAAGUAUAGAGAGGAUAAGAAAGUGAAUUGGCACUCAACUCCAUUUGAGACAAGGUUAGAGAAAGCUUUGAACAGAGGUGCUGCUGCUGGUGAAGCGUAGGGUGUUCUAAGAGAAAUGCAUGCACUGGUUUGUGUGGUUUUUGGGGGUGUGAAUUGUCUAGGAAUUCAAUUUUUUUAUUCUUAUGAAAUGAUUCAGUGUGUGAUGUUUACUUCUUCAAUUUGCAGUUUGGGUAAAUAAUUAAUACAAUCAUAUAUCUUAUAUCUACAUUGUGUCUUCAGUUAUUUUUCAUCCUUUCAUGGGAA